rnacentral:rRNA from 1 species
GUGUCAGCAGCCGCGGUAAGACGAACCGUGCGAACGUUGUUCGGAUUCACUGGGUUUAAAGGGCGCGUAGGCGGGCAUUCAAGUCUGUGGUGAAAUCCUCCAGCUCAACUGGAGAACUUCCAUGGAUACUGGGUGUCUCGAGGGUGGUAGGGGUAUGCGGAACUAUCGGUGGAGCGGUGAAAUGCGUUGAUAUCAUCAGGAACACCGGUGGCGAAAGCGGCUUACUGGGUCUCUUCUGACGCUGAGAAACGAAAGCUAGGGUAGCGAAGGGGAUUAGAUACCCCCGUAGUCC